rnacentral:tRNA from 1 species
GCCUGGGUGGCUCAGUCGGUUGAGCAUCUGACUUCAGCUCAGGUCAUGAUUUCACAGUUUGUGGGUUUGAGCCCCACGUCGGGCU